GGCGGCUCGAGUGGUAACCGUUAUUAUUGGGUCUAAAGGGUCUGUAGCCGGCCGGAUAAGUCUCUUGGGAAAUCCAGCAGCUCAACUGUUGGGCUUUCAGGAGAUACUGUCUGGCUCGAGGCCGGGAGAGGUGAGAGGUACUUCAGGGGUAGGGUGAAAUCUUGUAAUCCUUGAAGGACCACCAGUGGCGAAGGCGUCUCACCAGAACGGCCUGACGGCAAGGGACGAAAGCUAGGGCACGAACC
rnacentral:rRNA from 1 species